UAUGGCGACCGGCGCACGGGUGAGUAACGCGUAUCCAACCUGCCCUUUACUAUGGGACAGCCCGUCGAAAGGCGGAUUAAUACCGUAUGUUGUCAUGUUGAUGCAUAUUUUCAUGACCAAAGGCUUCGGCCGGUAAAGGAUGGGGAUGCGUCUGAUUAGCUUGCCGGCGGGGUAACGGCCCACCGGGGCGACGAUCAGUAGGGGUUCUGAGAGGAAGGUCCCCCACAUUGGAACUGAGACACGGUCCAAACUCCUACGGAAGGCAGCAG
rnacentral:rRNA from 1 species